UGUUUGAUACCAUGGGAUGCAGAUGCUUGGAUUCCAGCAAAUGGCACAAAAUUGCAGGCCAAAAGUGUGCUCAAAAUGCCUUGUUUCUCCACAGAGCAGCUCGUGUGACAGGAUGUGCAUGCACGACGUUGUUAGGUGUGCAAGCGUGCAUGUAUUCAUGGCAACACAAUAUAAAUGCAGCACAUGCUCCGCUCGGUGUGGUGUCUGCAAGGACAUGUGGGAACGAUUAUAGUUUCAGUGCAAGGAUCAGGGCUCCUUAUGGGCUUUUGCCUUGCCUGUACAUGAGUUUGAAUAUAUGUAGGAUGUAUUAUGGGGGGUAGUACCACAAUCCAUGUGUUUUGUAAACACGGCAGAGACAGAUGAGCCCAGGGCAUGGAUGGGAAAACGCUGUUCCAGACCCAGAUGAAAGGCAGAGCCAAAUUAAGGCAGACGGUGAGAACCUGCCAAGCACCAGUCUCUGUCCUCUUGCUUUAAAAAGGUUUGGGGUUCCCUUUGCUGCCGGUUUGCCAUGCCCCAGAGAGCAGAAGCCUUGGUGCUUUCUGGCCUGGUGGACACGAGCUGGAGUAGAAAUGUGGAUGCAGCUGGCCACUGGGUAUAGAUGGGAAGCCCACAGCUGGAUUGCCAGCCGUGGGGCAAAAAUGGUGGGUGCACGCUGUGAGCGAUGCUGCUCGGAGCCUAAACUUUGGAGGGGGUCUGAUCAGUGCUUGGCACAAAGGAGAAAGAGGAGCAGCACUCCUCCUAUGACUCUGAGAGAGAAGAGCAUCACAAGGAGGCAUGGCAGCAUGGGUUUUCAUCAGCCACUGGAAGAAUGCAAAGAAAUGCCAGAUUACUUUCAUUGCUAUCAAGGUUGCAUGGCUCUGUCCUCCUUGGAUGUGGGAAGCAAUCCUUCUGCUGGGGUUUAUGUCAGUGCCAGAGCUCCAGGAAGAGCUGUGAAAAGCUGGGAGGAGAUCCCAGGGCAAGGGCAGGCUCCCACAGACAAUGCACUAUUGAACAUCGUCACUGCCUGCAAAGGCACAGAAAACAGUGCAAAAUCCCCGUCAUAAACCUUUCAACGUGAGCACACACCCACGACUAUGAAUAGUCUCUUAUAAUACAAUUAGCACAGAGCAGCUUCUGGGCUGUGCUUGAUUGUGGCAAAGACAACGGGACUGAAAUAGGGUUUUCAAAAUGAACCCACGCUCGCCUAUUCAUUAAUGGGUUAAUGAACUUCGCAAUAGGAUGGGGAGUGGAAAGCUUCCUGCUGAAAAGGAAAGAAAACAAACCAAAAAAAAAAAAAAAAGAUCUGUAUGAAAUGAGUCGGGAACCAGCAGAGCUGGGAGGCCAGGGAGGAAAUGUUUUCCUCUUGCUCAGCCCUCCUGCCCCGGGAGAGCAGAAAGUGUUUCCAAACGUGGGUGCCACGGUCCUGGAGCUGUUCUGAUUAUGCCGAGCACUAUCAAUGCAUGCGGUCGAGCGUUAGGCCACGUCCCAGCAUUUUAAUUCCAGGGUGAAAAGGAAGAGGUGGAAACAACAGAUGGAUGGGUGGGAGCAGACGGGAAUUGUUGUACUCCAUGGUCAGAUUGGUACAGAUUUGUGUGUGUGCAUGGGGGCUGCCUUCCCCUAUAGUAGGGGGCAAGGCCCUCUUCCUUGGAUCUCUCCAGCAUGUCUCAAGAUCUCAGGGGGGGAUUGAAUAGCAGCCUUCAACUCCGUGCAGGGGGCUGCAAAGAGGUGGAGCUGGGCUGGUCUCAGUGGGGGCAGACGACAGAAGAAGCAAUGGGUUCAAGCUGCAGCAAGGGAAGUUGAGGUUGGAUAUUGUUUUUGUUUUGCUUUGUUUUUGUAAAAUUGCUAUAAUCUUUGACUGGUCAAAAAUAUGCAGUCAACUGACAAUAUUUGACUGGUCAAUUGACUGGCUCACUGACCCUAAUUUAAACAGCAUGAGUAGCAGCAGAACAUUGCCCAUCACGGCCCCUCUGCUUUACCUGCAGCAGGUCCGAUGUUAUAUCUUGGGGCUGAGUUAGGGUUGGCUGUGCAGUUUUCUUAGUAGUUUAGACAAUGGAUUUGUAUGGGAUGGCCCUGCCUCUGGCACGGGGAUGACUUCUGGAGGUGUCUUCCCACCCUACUUCUCUAUGAUGUCUAUGAGAAUUUCUAGCCAAAUCCAAGCCCUCCCUUGUCUUUUGUAUUUUAAUUGCUGUCUCUUUUUCCUCUGCUUUGUGUCCUUUCGCAGCAUCUGAUGAAGUGAGCAUGAAAGCUUGUGCUAUCUAUCUAUCUAUCUAUCUAUCUAUCUAUCUAUCUAUCUAUCUAUCUAUCUAUCUAUCUAUCUAUCUAUACAAACACCUGUGUAUAUGCUUAUACAAAUGCCAUUACGUUCAUAUUUGCAUUCAUACACACAUGCAUAUGCAUUUACAUUCAUAUUUGCAUAUGCAUAUACAUAUAUAGAUAUAUAUUUACCUAUGCAUACAUAUGCACACAUGCAUGCACACACACACACACACACACAUAUUUCAGGGGUGUGGGUUGUAGCUGUGUUGGUCAAAGGCCAUCGUCAGACAAGGUUCUUUGGGUAAAUUUGAUAUCUUCUAUUAGGCCGGUUGGUCAAAUAAAAGAUAUCAGAUUUACAUAUAUAUUUACAUAUAUGCUUACAUUUACAUUGAUCUAUACCUAUACCUAUACAUAGUUUAUAAGGUACACAUCUACCCUGCCUUCUGCCAGAUUUUGGACUAACACGGUGAACUGUGUCUCUGCUUCAGUGAAAAUGUCUCAGGAUGGUGCAGCUGUCUGAUGACGAGCAGGCAGCAGAGCACCCCACUGCUUAGCGCCUGCCGUGUACCUGUGACCGCAGGGCCCUGGUUUCCUUGUGUGCAUUUGUGCUCUGUACACAGGUAAGGUGGGAGGGUUCAUGUGGCUCGUUAGUAAAAAAAAGUCUUCUGUUUUUUUGGUGAGUUUUCCUGAGCAGCCGCCACUCAGGGCAUUGACAGCGGGGACCAGAGGGACUGGAUCUCCUUAGCACUGCUAGUGCAUUCCCUCGUGCCCUCCCGUGCAUGGUGAUGGUGGCGUCGUCCGUGCCACGUGCAAGGUCAGUGUGUCACCGUGUGCAGGGGAGAAGUAGCUUCCCAUCUCAGCGAGCUGCAGAAACAGCCUCUCCCUGCAGAUCCAGCACCAGGUAAACAACUCCUCCGCUAAUUGAGCAGGGAGGCACUCGGAGGAUGCCUGCUGCCUGGAGGAUUCGGGCGCUGAGCAGCCAUCCGCAAUGGCUGAGCGCAGCGUUUCUGGAGGAGGGGGAUCCUUGGAGGGCAACGGCGUCUCUGGGAGGAGUGCACCAAGCCCAGCAUGCUCUUGCGCAUCCUUGACUCGGUUUUCAAGCUGGGGAAGAUGCCCUGAGAGCACCUGCUCACAGUGUCCUCACCAACACACCUGGCCUUGGGUGUCCUGAAACCAUCUGUAGUGGCCAGGACCUUGUGGGUGACUCCUGGCAUGGGCCUGUCCCUGGAAACCAGCUUGGGACAGACAUCCUGCAUCCCUAAGCAGUCAGCCCGGUGGAGGAAACCUUUAUAACCUGGAGUGGGUCCAUCCUGGCUGCCAGAGGGAGGAUAUGGCAGCCUACUUCAUGACCCCACACCCUCCUCCAGUGGUGGGGUAAUAAUAUAACCAUUAAUAUAAUAUAAUAAUAUUAUCUGCACCCUGGGUAAUAACCUCCUGCUGCUACUGUUGGAAGGAGCUGCCCCCCUAGCACGAGUGAGAAAGGACUCUGCAUAAAUCCCAGCUGGUGUCUCUUGGGGAGGCUCCUUUCCAGGGAAAUGAGAUGCUGCCCAAGCACCUGGGAAUCUGUCGCUUGCUCACACCAGUCGUGGGAGUUCCCAGCAUCUUGGGCCAGAAGGGGCCGGCACCUAAUUGCCGUGAGACGGAGGGGAGGAAGCAGCUGCUGGCCUUCGGAUGCAGAAAUGUUUCCCGCAUGUGGGCUGCAGGGUUCCCUCGCCAGCCUCCAUUUGCACAGGGGAGCCAAAUUUUGCAGCAGGAGCAGAUACGAGCUGGCCACGCACUGCUUGUGCUCUGGCUACUAGGUGGCCUUGAGCGCUUCGGUCGAGACCGCUGGCGGCUUGUUCCCUGUUUGCCGCGAUCCUCACUUGACUAUGCAGCUGGGUUGCACAGCUCUCCUUUCUCACAUGCAUGGUGUCCUGGGCCUGUGUGCACGUGGCACAAGCUGCCCCCGGUCCUCUGUGAUGCUCUUGGCUUCACAUCUAGCCCUAUGGCAUCUUGAGGCUGCAGUGUUAAUGGCUGAGCCCUCUCAAAGGGAAUACAUCCCGGGGUGGGGGGGAUGGUUGGGUAAUGGACCCUCUUCUGCCUUGUCCCUGCUCUGCUUUGCUGGCAGAAUAUGUGGAUGCAGCUUGUCCGGCUCUGCCCAUGCAUGAUACCCCUGUGCAUGCACCAAGGAGAGCAGGCUUAUUCAGAGCUAGCAAUGCUCUUUCUUGCUGCCUGAAAUCCCUGUUGUCUUGUAGAGCUCCCAUUUUCCUGGCACUGACAAGCAAGUCCCCAGCUGCAGCUGGCAGAGCGUCCCAUGGAGCCAGUGCUUGGAGGGAGGGCGCGAGGGGCAUUCACACCCCCGGUGCCACCCCCCGCUUGGACCCUGCACUCCUUUGCAUUUCCUUCCCUGGUGCGCUCUGCUCAACUGCAAAAGAUGCCCGGUGGUUCCCCUUGCUUCCUUCUUGGGAGACGUCUCCACUGAAAACCCAUCAGCCGUCCCGGGGGGCCGUCUGCUGCAAAGGGGUUCAGCUUUUCUCUCUUCAAAAUGAAGAUUAAGCCUAAUCUCACUGAGCCCAGCUCUCUUCUACUCUUUAACAUUUGGAUGCUUAUCUUGCUGGGGUCCUUUGACCCCAGCUGACUUCCUUCCCCUGGGGCAGGGGGCUGGACUCGAUCUUCAAGGUCCCUUCCAGCCCGAAUGUCUCUGAAAUCUCUGAAAUCUUCUUACCUUUCACAUCUUUCCACCAGAGUAAGCUGUUUGUGGCCCCCAUUGUCUUCUUUUUAGCAAGUGCAUGUACAGCACCUAACACACUGAGGCUCCCCCUCCCCAUAACCCACAGGUACUAGCAAUGCAAAUGCAAAUCAAAUCACAAUGCUCCACAAUGCAAAUAAAAUCACCAGAAUGGGCUCAUUCCUGGCUUGCAGCGGAGUGAGCGAGGACGACCUUGGCUGUCUGAUAGCCAUAAAUCUCUUUGCUUAGGUGAGGGGUCUCAGGGUCAUAAAUCUCUUUGCUUCAUAGCCACUGUGUUGAAUGUCCUCACACCAAAAGUAUCUCUGAGGAGCUAGGCCUCCAGCCACCGUUUUGAAGCCACUCAAGAAGUCUGCAGUGGUCCAGGAGCGUGAGCUUGGGUCUCCUGGGUACCACAGCGCCCAAAGCAUCCUUGUCUUUUGGCCCUACAGAGACUGUCACUAAAUCAGACACGGUCAGAGAUCCCAGUCUUGAUGAGCAAUGGACAUAGGAUCUCCUAAUGGGAAGCAUCAGAAAAUCUUAACUAUAGGCAUCUCUAGCUUAUCUUAUAAUAACUCGCCUAUGAUGGGGCUUUGCCCCUCGAACAGCGCAGGGCCCUUGCUUUCAGAGCUCCCCGCCUGCUCCGUUGGUGGUGCAGGUUGGUGGGCACGUGUGCCGGGCUCACCUCGCCUCACCCCUCGCCCAGAGCCGUGCAUUUUUUAAUGCCCCGGGUCUGCUCUGCCAGCACGCUCUCGCGUCUCCUUCCCCGGGAGCCGCUGUGAAGCUGUGCUCUGCCGCUCUCCGGGAAGAAAAGUGGGUCACGGUGUCACGUAAGGCAGCUGAGCGGUAAUCCUGAGCCAGGCGAGUGGAGCAAUUCACUGCCAGAUUGGAGAUGAUAAAUGACCAGCUGUGUGGGAUAAACAGGGGAGGAAGAGAAUGUAUCAGGGAGCGCUGGAAAACAGUCGCCGUCUGCACAGAAAUGUCAGGUGAGAGCACUCACGCUGGCUCGAUCAAGCCAGCCCCGGGCAGCAAAGAGGGCUCCGGGUCUCUCUUUAUAAGUGCAAGACUUGGAAGACGUAGGUGGCAUAGGUGAAAGCUCCCCCCAAGCCCCUUUCCCAAAUUUCCUUCUUGUCCCCUUCGUUUUCCACCAUUAGAUGCAAGUAACCAAAGCAGAAAGCACCAGCGAUUCAUGGAAAAUCAGCUCUCGGCCUUCCAGCAUCUCGGGUUGUAAAUCGUGUUUUCUCUCUCUGAUCAUUCGGAGUCUCCUCAUUUAUUUGGCUGGGUUUUUUUAAUUGUUAAUUUUGUGCAAUGUAAGCAUCCCAAAAAAUGAGCUUUCCUUCCUGCCCCAGCAGUCUCUAGCUCUCCUGAAUCCUCGUGACAUCAAUCUCAAUGGGUCUCUUUUAAAGUCGGGCUCAAGCCUUGCAAUUAGUAUCUGAAGCAAGGUUUCGGAUACCCCCGGGGUUCAGGAAGGGUGAUGGGAUCUUCAGAUUUCAGUCAGAUGGUUAUAAAAUUAGCAGCCAGGACCGGAUUUGUAACUCCGAGAUGCCUGGGGAUUUCUUAUCCCCUAUUGGGGGGGGAAGCGUUGCAAACCUGAGGGCUGGAGCUUGAGUCAAACCACUGCAAGAAGCAUGCAGGCCAUUAUCACUGGUGGGUCUGUGCCAGUAAAGGCUGAUUUAUCCUGGAUCAACAGCCAGUCCUGGAGAGUAAGCAGACAGGGAGGUGAGUGUGCUCCCAUGCUUCACCAGGCUAAAGUCCCUUCUCCAGCAGCUUGAGGCGGUGCUGGAUGAUGCUGAAAGCCCCUCAAAUAGGAAGCUGGAGUGUGGUGCUCAAAUCCCCUAGGCACUGAAACUAGGGGCUCUUCAGACUGGAGGGCUAGAGCAUGCUGGAGGCCCCCUUCCUGCAAAGCUGAGGUCCACUCUGGACCCUGCCCAAGCUCAUGCUGUCUGAUAUUUGGAGGCCUCUUAGGAGCCCAAAGCUUGGGUCAAAGUUUGGUUUGUUCCCAGGAGCUGGAUGAGCAAUUAUUAACCUCCAUGCUGCAGGUCUGGGAGCAGCUCUGAGGGCAGCAGACGGGCAAUGCAGGGGAGCCACGGACCCAUCCGCACCGUGCGUGUCUGAGCUGCACAGGGAUGGGUCUUGCCAAACCCUAAGGCUCUGAUCCCCGUGGUCUGAGCACCCCUCUAGCCAGGGCUUCCUCCUGCCUUUGACUUGGCACCAGGGACUUCAAGGGGAGGCUUAUGCCAUAAGUCUGAAGUCUCAAGAAGAAGGGAAGAUGCCAGGUCAUGAGCACUGGCCAAAGAACCUCCUGCUGCUGCACUUGCAUCCAGGCCGUAUACCGUGUACCUUUCAGAGGAGCAUCCAGUCUCGAGAUGCAGAUCCCAGCACCUCAUUGCACAGGGUGUAGUGGACACCGGGCCAUGCCCAAGGUAGCACGGCAUCUGUUUACUAGCAUCUCAUCCAUCGCCAGCUCUCCCUGCCCUCACAAUGUCAUUGCCCGUCCCUGGUUUGUCGGAGGGAAGAGGGUACCAGCACCUGGUGCUCACCUACAGCACUGCCAACACUUGUGACUUGCCACAUCCAUUAAGCCUGAGCUCUAAAAACCAGCUAUGGAUACACAGGGGCAGACACACUUCCCAUCAAAGCAGAGGUUGGAGCCUCCUGAAACUGCCCCUGAGUGUGUUGAGAUUGUCCAAAGUAUUUUAACAGCCAUAAUACAUCCCUCAUCCUCCAGUCCCUGUGCUGGGAAGGGAAGCAUCGUGGUAUCAGAGUGACUCUUACCCUUCAAAAAGGGAGGGGAGGAGGGUGAAUAGAGCCCAGGUGCCUUUCAAAAGGAGCAGCUGGGAUGAUAGCCAAGCACCAACCUUGCCCAGAUUGGUAACCAAAAGGUCUCGAGGUCCUAAAGUCAGAUCAUCCCUCAUAAUUUAGAGACUGUAAAUCAUCUUAGGGCACUUGGCAGGAGUUACCCAGGAUAACUGUGUUGUUAGAAAAGGUCCUUCCUGUGUUUCUAGAAAAAAAAAGGAUUAUUAAACCCAAGAGGAUGUUUAUAAUCUGGUCAGUGGUACUUGUACUGUCUGGUUAUUUGCUCUUCCUGGGGAGACUAGGUUGAGUUUCAUCACCAGAGAGGACUGCAAUUCAAAAUCAGCUGUGAUCUUAUUUUUUGUUAACUUCCCCAACUCUAUUGGAAAUGGAAAUGAGAGGUUUCAACAUCGCUUUGACCCACCCUUUCACUGAUAUAGGAGUAUUCACCCACAGCCAAGUGCCCCACUUAUAGUGAACCAGUGCCCUGGAUCCAAAUUCAUCCAGACUGGGGAUGCAUUCAAAAGCUGGACCUGAUUGUCAUAGGUGUUACCCAAAACCAGGAGGUGCAGCUAGGUCCAGACAGGAGACCUGUGCAGGUGAGGCUUGCAUGCUUUGGGCAGGACGUGGGGUAUUGUGGAUCCUUGUGCUCGUGUCUGAUCACCUUCACAUCCCAAGGCAGGGAGUCCCACCUGCCCCCUCAGUCAAUGGCUAUAUGGCAGAGCUAAUGUCUGGGCUAGAGGAAGAAAUCCAGUCUUGAAGGGAUGGAGACUCACUUUUGGGUCCCUCCAACCCUAUGCCCAGGUACUAAGUUGCACAUGGGUAAGUACGAAUACCCAAUGCAUGUAUUGCACCUUCGCUCAAAGAUCCCAAACAGUACAAAGACCAGUGUUUGGGGUUUUUUAAUUAGCCCUGAAGUUUUAAGGCCAGAAAGGAUCAUCGUCAUUGUUGAGCCUGACCUCCUGACUCCACCCGGAGGGUAAGGUUGCUUUGGGAGGAUGGGGGCCUGUCAGCAUCAUCACAGGACAGGAAGCAUCUGGUGCACCGUGAUGUCGACGCUCAUCAGUGGAGACUGUGAACAGUGAGUAACGGUGACUCUAGCCUCCACAGUGCUCAGGCCAGGAAAGGUGAUGGGAUGCUUGGGCCUUGUCUAUCUUGCCUCCAUGCCAUGCACCCAGCAGCUCUGCUGUUGCACACCCAGCUCUCUUCCUCCUGCUCUUGCCAAAUCCUGGACAGGCAACUGAACACGCACCACCAACGACCCCCGAGGGGGAAGCCGUGAGUACACUCUUGGCAGUGAUGCUGCCUUGUGUCUUGGGAUUUUGCAAGGGUGAGGUGGAAGGACAUCUUCCCGGGGCACUUUCCCCUCGGCGGAGGUGGUAAGGACAUAAGAAGUGCCCGACUGGGUCAGAUGUAUCUCCAGCAGGGGCAGGGGUGGCUGCCUUAGAGGGAGAGCAUUGAACCAGAUAUCUCUGGAGUGCCAUUACCCUCCCUGGCAUCCACUAUUAUCGGUCUAGAGAUGCCAGAGGAAACAUCUCCAACCGGUCUGUGCUGCCAGCAGGCCAUUGCUGCCUGCAGGGGGUCAGGGUUUUGAUUUUUCCUCACUUCUGGAAGCCGUCGAGCCCUGUUCACCCUCCUCUUCAGCAUCCUCACCCUGCCACUAGACAUGAGCUAAAGGAUAUGACUCUGUAUACGGCAGCUCUUAUGGCCCUAGUGCAAACUUGAGGUACCAAUAGCUCCCUUCCCUCUGCCAAGUGGGUUCUGCUUCCCCAGCAAGCUAGAAAAAGAGCUGAAAUUAUGAAUGGCCUACAAUUUUUCAGGUUCCCUCUCUCCGUACGUCGCAUCUGAGCUAAAUACCAGCCCCGUGGCAAGGCUGCUGAAUGACAUGUUUGCACUUAGGCAGUGAUUCAUGAACUGACCCCCAGAGGAAACCAUCAGGAACACGCUCCGUCACGCUCCCUCCGGAGGAAAGCUCGUGUUUCUUUUCCUCUUCCCAUGGCACUGCAAGACCUUGAGGUGCCAAGCUUCGAAAAUCAGGCAACAUAUUUAAGCAGUUUAUUUACGCCCUUGAGGAUUCUGGCUUGGAAAAUAACUAUGAGAGUCUGUAAUGAGAGAGGGACUGAAGGCAAGUGCUGCCAUCACACCUGACUUCUCACCUCGCUCCUGGAUGCCCACCUUCAGGAGAUGGUAUUGCCAGGCAUUGUGGCAGCUGGACCCUGCUGCCCUAUAAGUCCUGUUUCAUUAAAUGCUUGUGGAUUGAAUGGAAAUGAAAUUAAAAUGGUGUCUUCUCUUGCA